ACAGAGAACAAGUCUGGGAGGGAGAAUGAGGCUAAUUAGGGGACUGCCGUGGGGCGCGGCUGGUUUCAGACAUCUGCAGACAUCAUGGUAGCAACGAGUGGUGAUAAUGUGAGCUGCAGGUGACAGAAAAUGACUGAAUACAUGAUUUUGCAUGACCUGAUGGCUCUAAACAGCCCUUAGGGCAAAAGCACCAGGGGUGGAUAUGAAGUAAUACAAAUAAUCAAAUUGCUCGGCUUGGACGUCUACAGGGAGUCUGCUGGAGCUGUGGUUUUGCUCGCGGGCCAGAGACCACAUUGCGGGGAGAGCAGCGGGGAACACACCCCAUCGCUCACGUCCCUAUCAGUUACUCGGCCUUGCAGGUCAACGGCCACGAAACUAUUUCAACCUCUGGCGCGAAUAUAUCACGACGUCAGACCCGUCUGGCCCCCUGGAGAAACGGCGAUUUAUGAGCAGAGCGGUUGGGUC